rnacentral:rRNA from 1 species
UACGUAUGUCGCGAGCGUUAUCCGGAAUUAUUGGGCAUAAAGGGCAUCUAGGCGGCCUAACAAGUCAGGGGUGAAAACCUGCGGCUCAACCGCAGGCUUGCCUUUGAAACUGUAAGGCUGGAGUAUCGGAGAGGUGGACGGAACUGCACGAGUAGAGGUGAAAGUCGUAGAUAUGUGCAGGAAUGCCGAUGAUGAAGAUAGUUCACUGGACGAUAACUGACGCUGAAGUGCGAAAGCCGGGGGAGCAAACAGG